AACAAGCUCUGUGUGUCGCUGUAAAAUAUGACACGUGUCACAACAAUACUGAAUGCUUAUUCGCUACAUAUUGUCACGUGGUCUGUAUUUCAAAAGAAUCUAUUUUUGCUCUUCUUUCUAAGUUUCUUCUAUUUUUUAUUGACAAACGCUUAUAUUUUGAUUGUCGAGCAACAAGCAACGUGUUAUUUUUAAUGGACGCAUAAUGCUGGGCUAGGAGGCUCUUUGACGCCAAAGUUCCAGUAAAUUUUAGAUUCUCGGAGACUCACAGUAAAUUAAGUAGGAAACUAAUUUAAAAAAUGCGCAUAUAUAAUUGUUUAAACAUUCUUGUACUCUAAUUUUAUAUGCACAUUCAGGCGACAAAUGAAGGCGGAUCAGACAACUUCAAUAUGCGUCCCAUUUUCACCUAAAGUACGUAGCGUAAAGAUACUACUCAAGCGCUUAUCUUGAGCAGGUGGGGACAGUGAUUCAAUUCCAUGUUUCUUUGAAUUGUAAGAUGCUGAAGACAAUGGUGGUGAUUACGUAGCGUAAAGAUACUACUCAAGCGCUUAUCUUGAGCAGGUGGGGACAGUGAUUCAAUUCCAUGUUUCUUUGAAUUGUAAGAUGCUGAAGACAAUGGUGGUGAUGUCUUACGAGGCUAAUUACGGUAGAUUUCACUGAAAAUCAUGCGGCCCUUUGAAAAUCACUUGUGAGAAAUGUCAGGGUGACUGGAGACCAUCUAACCAUCUAAUAAAUAAUAAUAAUAAUAAUGAUGAAAAUUAUUUUAUAAUAAUAAACAUUUUUUAUAAUACGCGAUGUCUCAAACGCUGUUUCUCUACUAAAGGCAGGAGAUCUUCUUAGGUCAACAUCAUAAAAGUUGUAUGUAAUUAUAUUUUCCUGAGACGUUGUCAACGUUGUUAGUGAAAGCAAGAGUUUGAUUAAUAUGAUGCACAGAAUUAAUCUUGCGCUGAAGAUGAUAAAUAUUAUACUGUAAAGCUGUGACCAUCUGGGGAACUUAUCAAAAUUGAAACUGUGCAGGUCAUAUAAUUAAAACAUCAAGCCAUUGAA